rnacentral:lncRNA from 1 species
UAGACGAAAGCCAAGUCAUAUGACUCGCCGAUUCUCCUCCAACUUAAAACUUUCAAGCUGCAGGAAGACAAACACAUGAACCCUUGCAUGGGUCCAGAAUGCCUAGAAGCAAGCUUGGGCACUUCUGCUGUUAGCAAUCCUGAACUGUUCAUCUCAGCCUGUUGCUCUUGCCACACACUGCGCUGGAUUCUGUGCUCCCAUCUCCAUCAGUCCACUUGGAAUGGGAAGUGAAGAGAAGAAGAAUGAAGCAACCCUGGCAAUCAAUCUUUUUUUCCAGGACCUUUGCUGUAGUUGAUGAUCAACACAGAAAUUGACAAUUGGUCAAUGUGCAGAGGACAAAGAAGAUUGGGGAUUCUCAGCCCUACUUGGAGCAUCUAUAUAACAUUCCUUCCUGGAAGAAGAGGUGGGGAAAGAUUGUAAAAGCCAGAGGCCCUCGAUGACUACAACGAAGCAACAUUUCCUGGAUACAGCAGGGCAUUUACACAUGUGACCUUAUGGAACAGUGGUUAUCCACUUCCCUAGUGCUGCAACCCU